rnacentral:rRNA from 1 species
GUUUUAUAUUUAUUUGAUUUGAUUUUUAAGAAUUUUUAUAAUAUUAUUUAGAUAUUUUAUUGGGGUGAUAAAUAAAUUUAAUAAACUUUAUUAUAUUUUUACAUUAAUUUAUGAAUAAUUGAUCCAUGAAUUAUGAUUAAAAGAUUAAAU